rnacentral:lncRNA from 1 species
GGUGCAUGCUUUAGAACAGUGUGGAUACCUCGCAAACAAGAACAGCAGUCAGUCCAUGAAGAAAGGUGCUGAGCAUAUUGUACAAACGGCAGAGACUUGGCAGCAUCAAGAGCUCGGAGGUAAAGGAACGUAAAAUGUUUCCGGCCGCUUAAAGCACUGAUAUGAUUAAAUAUGACCUGCCCGCCCCCACCCUCCAAAUUAUCAUACAUUUGUGUGGUGUUCAAAAUGAACCAGGCUGCCCAUCCAGACCAAGGAAUGCAACUGUAAUUUGUUCAUCAGUUGUUUAUUAAUGGCAGUGAUGAUGAUGAUGAUGAUAAUAAUAUUAAUAAUAAUAAUAAUAAAAGGCACAGUGACACAAGGGAGCUGAGCUGAAGAAUAGGGAGAGGAAACUGAUCACAUUAACAGCUGCUUGGGAGACCUGUACACAUUCAGGAUUGUACUCACCCAUAUUACAUCAUUGCCCUACACAGGCAAAUGCAUUUUUGUUCUUGCUUGAUCCAGAGGACACUUAGGUCUAAGUUAACCUGCUGAAGCCAGUGGGAGGGAGCAGAGGAGAGUUUUCCCAAUCAAUAUUCAAUAGCCUGGGUUAGGGUACAGAUUUCUGUUUCAGUCUGCACCAUCUCUGCACGGGAACAUUUCUGUUUCAAUCUGCAACCCCUCUGCACUGGAACAUGUGGAUUGAAAAAAAUGAAAUGUGCUGCCAUUGCAUUGUAAUGCUUGAUUUCUAUCACUAGGUGUUGACAUAGCGUGCUGCGCACAGCUCAGGAAUGGCACCUCGUGACAAAACACAAGCAUCAACUCAUAGAACAAAGAUCCCCCUUGAAUACGGCUGUUCUCUCGCUCCUUUUGUGUAGUAGGAGCCUGGAAAACCUCUCCCAUGAGAUGAAACUGCACUUCCUUUUCUACAAACAAGCAGCAGAGCAAGGCAAGAGGGCUUUCACUGAAAAGGGACUAGAGCAAAGUGUGGUUGGUUGCUUUUAUGUUUUCCUUUUCUGAGGGGAGCAGAAUGGAGCAGACAAAAUCCAAGAGGUUCAAUGGUAAUGUUUCCAAUGUGUUUCAGUUAUCUUCUUCAGGGGAACUUAUUCAACUUUCACAAAUUAGCAUUGCCUUCUAGUGUUUGACUGGUGAUGGUGCCGUCUCUUUGAGCUUCGCCUGCCAUGGCAUGUUGCUGAGCAUGGGUGUUGAGCAAACUGAGCUAUUUGUGGGCUUAUUGCUGCCCCUCCUUAUGAUCUGGCCUGUUACAAUUCCUCCCACUUUUGGCAGGUUGCUUUUUCAACCUCUCGAGAGACCGACGAGCCACACGGGAUACAAACAAGGUAAAACGAAUGUUCACGUGCCUUUGCAUGUUGACUCACAAACAAUAAGCUGGCUGGUGCUCCGGACUUCCAGUUGCACUCACCCAUCUUAAAAGUGGGGUGGGGUGGGGAUCCUCUUAGCAGCUGAGUGUGUGUCUGGGUCACCUGAUGUGGGAAAACAAUGUGACGCUAUCACAGUGUGGUGGUUCCGUUCUAUUCUUUUGCGAGGCAAGAGGCUGUGUUUGUUAUCUGAUCGCAAAGGCAUGGCAUGACCAAGACUUUGUGUCUGUGGGGAUGCAUGGGAUUUUGGACUGAGCAAGAAUGUGGGGGAUUCUCGCCAUGCUGAAUUAGAAUAAAGCAGGGGUGGUGGUACCUGCGAUCCCUCUGGGUGUUCCUGGACUACAACUCCCACCAUGCUUGACCAUUGGCCAUGGUAGCUGGGAUUGAUGGGAGUUGGAGUCCAGAGGCAUCUGCAAGGCCCCCAGUUUUCCACCCCUGUUCUAAGGAUAUCAGCCACCUGGUUGUAUCAGUUUUGCCACUACACUUACAAAUCAAUGCAAUCCUUGUCUACUCAGAAGGAAGUUCCCAUGGUUCCUCUUACUUCCAGGUGUGCAUAGCAGGGGUGGGGAACCUCUGGCCUAGGGUCCACACGCAGCCCUCCAAGUCUCUCUCUGGCCUUUGAGACUCCCGCAGGAAUUGCCCCUCACACCAUGGGUCUUUCCCCCUGCCUUGAAUGCAUCCUUGAAGUCUCUGUUGCUGCCUCUUGUUUCUCUGCACGGAGGUCGCAGAACGGUGUGUGAGCAUGAGCAGAAAGUAGCUUACUACGCAAAGGGGAAAUUUGCAUAUGCUGCUCCACCCACCUUCGCCCCUGGCUCCACCCACCAUGUGGCCCCCAGAAAGUUGCCAAACAAGGAAUGCGGCCCUUGGACUAGAAAAUAUCUCCACAUCUCUGGUGCGUAAGACGGUAGCGUGAAUCAAACCAGGGGACCUAAACCCAACCAGGGUUUUGUCAUGGCUCAGAUGUUGUUACCAACGAGAGCAAUUGUCCCAUGCAAAAAGCACAUGCUUGGGCCUCCAAGGAAACUGCUGUCUUGCUCUGCCAAGCUCAUAGUCAAAUGUCUGUAAGCUUCAAGGAGUCUUAAGGUGGGCAAAAGGAAUUCACAGCCGACCUUUGGGGAAGGGCUGUAGCUCAGUGGCAGAGGUCCAAGGUUUAAUCCCCCAAAGGCCUCUCCAGGGAGGGCUAGCAGGAAACCCUGCUUGAAACUCUGGAGAGCAUCUGCCGGCCAGUGUAGACCAUACUGAGCUAGAUGGACCAUUGCUCCGAAUCAGAAUAAGGCAGCUUCUAGCAUCUCACAAAUGCUGAGAGCUUGCGACAGACGCCAGGCCCCUGCCUUGGCAGCUCCCCAUGUUGUCCUUUUUACACAAAGCAAAAGGAAACACCAAGCGAGAAAGCACAGUUUUUGGCACUGACAGCAAAACCCUUCAAUGAGAAGGCAACAGUUUAGGAUCCAGCUGUUUCCUACUGGAAGUAAUUCAGCUUUUUACUGCUGGGAGAUCCAUCUAUCUCCUUAGGGAGGAAGGGGAUGCCCUGGGUUUAUUCUGAUACUAGAAAAGCAGUGAUCUAUCAGAAUAGGCAAUCAUAUUCUGUAACUGGAGAACUCUGGAAGCCAUCAGAAAGAGUUCAUGAAUGUAGUCUGCCUGUUCCUUCCUCUGUCCUCUUUGGCUUUGGUCUGUUGUAAAGAUGGGCAACCUGUGGCCCACCAGAUGGUCUUGGACAGGGGGCAGCACACUUUUUCAGCAGGGGGCCGGUCCACUGUCCCUCAGACCUUGUGGGGGGCCGGACUAUAUUUUGAAGAAAAAAAUGAACGAAUUUCUAUGCCCCACAAAUAACCCAGAGAUGCAUUAUAAAUAAAAGCACACAUUCUACUCAUGUAAAAACACUAAGCAGGCCCUACAAAUAACCCAGAGAUGCAUUUUAAAUAAAAGGACACAUUCUACUCAAUUAAAAACAUGCUGAUUCCACAGGCCGUAUUUAGAAGGUGAUUGGGCCGGAUCCGGCCCCCCGGGCCUUAGUUUCCCUACUCAUGGUCUUGGACAUGAUGUUGGGCAAAUAUGUCAUUUUUUGUUUUUCUCCGUUUCUCAUGUUUUUUCAAUCUUAAAUUAGAACCCCCACGUUACCAUCUCAGCUCGUGAUUUUGUUGUUCUGGUGAAAAUUCACCAGAAUUUUAAUGCGAAUUUUUCCUAACAAGUCUGCAUUUUCUCCCAACAUACACUUUUUUUAAGCAAAGUAAUUCCCCCUAAUGCAAUGCAUUUUGUGUAUGUUACUUUUGCUAAUAUACGCGUUUAUAUGCACACUUUACUCCAGUGUAUGCGUCCACGUUACUUA